GUAGAUUGGGAGUAACUCCGGGAAACCGGGGACGUAAUGCCGAAUAAUCCAUUUUGCUUCAUGGCGAGAUGUUGAAAGAACGGUUUCGGCUGUCACUACAAGAUGGCCCGGCCGGCGCAUUAGCUAGUUGGUAGGGUAAUGGCCUACCAAGGCGACGAUGCGUAGCGACCUGAGGAGGGUGAUCGGCCACACUGGGACUGAGACGCGGCCCAGACUCCUACGGGAGGCAGCAGUAGGGAAUCUUCCACAAUGGACGAAAGUCUGAUGGAGCAACGCCGCGUGAGUGAAGAAGGUUUUCGGAUCGUAAAACUCUGUUGUAAGGGAAGAACACGUACGAGAGUAACUGCUCGUACCUUGACGGUACCUUAUUAGAAAACCACGGCUAACUACGUG
rnacentral:rRNA from 1 species